rnacentral:rRNA from 1 species
GGAAUAUUGGACAAUGGGCGCAAGCCUGAUCCAGCAACGCCGCGUGGAGGAUGAAGGCCCUCGGGUUGUAAACUCCUGUCAGGCGGGACGAAAGGUCGCGACCCAAUACGUCGCGUUCUUGACGGUACCGCCCGAGGAAGCCACGGCUAACUCCGUGCCAGCAGCCGCGGUAAUACGGAGGGGGCAAGCGUUAUUCGGGAUUAUUGGGCGUAAAGGGCGCGUAGGUGGCCCUGUAAGUCAAAGGUGAAAGCCCUCGGCUCAACCGAGGAACAGCCUUUGAUACUGCAGAGCUUGAGGCCGGGAGAGGGUAGUGGAAUUCCCAGUGUAGCGGUGAAAUGCGUAGAUAUUGGGAGGAACACCAGUGGCGAAGGCGGCUACCUGGACCGGUUCUGACACUGAGGCGCGAAAGCGUGGGGAGCAAAC